ACAUAUAUCCAUAUCAUUACGAUUGCCUUGUGGCUGGUCUAUAAUUUCCAUUGAUUGUAUCACACAUAAAAUUUACCCGUAUUUACUACUUAGUAUAUGCUAAAUAUGUAUAUAGCAUGUAUUUGUUUUAAACCAAAAAUGACGACAACGUAUUGGUAUUUUUACAUCAAACGGAAGUGAUCAUUUGCCCGAAGGAAUUGAUGCAACAACAUUUGACGAUAGUUGACCCUUGUUCUGUCAUUUAUCAGGUGGGAAUAUUCAAUUUUGGUUAGAAAAUAUCUGAAAAUUUGUCAAAUGUUUAUGGAAAUGUCGAGAAUUCGUUUGAUUGUUCUUGUCUCGUGCCAAAUAUUUUGUCUUGUUCAAAGUCUUAAUACACUUGAUGGAAUAUUUACUGGUACAUUUUUGGAUACUAUCGCAAAGUCGCGGACAAAUCCAGAAAAGACAGGAUGUGACAAACAAACUGCUAACCAAUCGAAUCCUUACUUUUUUGGCACUACGGACCUCAAAUGUCUUAAUAUAGAAGCAAAAUUGCGAACAAAAGGUUAUGAUUUGCAAGAUAUUCAGGAUCUCCGAGAGAAAUUUCCACGUCUCAUUGGUAAAAGAUCUGUUGGGGAGAAAAAUAAAACACAAUCAUCUGAGCCUCGGAAUCAGUCACCAUACAGAAGCACGUUACGCAUUGUACAUAGAUGGAUAUUCUACGACGGGUACUUUAUUGAAUUCGGUGCUGGAAGCGGAAAUAUUGGCAACUAUCAAGAUGUUGGCAAUAAGACAAUAUAUUCUGCCCUAAACGGAAAUGGCGGGAAAACAGAUUCGAAAUUUGAUGAAAAUAGCUUGUCCAAUGCUAAUAUGCAAACAGUGUACCCCAAAAAUGGGGAUAUAUGUUCUGCCAAAAUGGAGAGUGAAAUAGCUGGGUAUAGUUCCGUGCCAUUGGAAUGUUUAUACAAAUGUGCUAGAAGUUUCGUCUCCAAGUUUGGAAAGUAUCAUUUGAUUA